UGCAGCCUGCAACUCGGCUGCAUGAAGCUGGAAUCGCUAGUAAUCGCAGAUCAGAAUGCUGCGGUGAAUACGUUCCCGGGUCUUGUACACACCGCCCGUCACACCAUGGGAGUUGGAAAUGCCCGAAGUCAGUGACCGAACCGAAAGGAAGGAGCUGCCGAAGGUGGAGCCGAUGACUGGGGUGAAGUCGUAACAAGGUACC
rnacentral:rRNA from 1 species